UCCUGGGACGAUAUUAGCUGCAAGACUACAUAUCAAGUCUUGUGUGAAGCAUCAGGUACGUUGUGAUGUGAUUGAUAGUUUUAAGAUUGGCGUCAAAGAAGUUCGUAAACAAGAAUAACAUUUACUUGUUAAAUUCUUAGUAUUCUUCGCUAUUGACCUCUUAUCAUAGCUGUUACGACAACUCAUGUUUUGUAUUAACAUGGUAUUAUAAUGAUUUGAAAUAAAUUUAAACAAGC
rnacentral:misc_RNA from 1 species